CUUGUAUACCUUGUCCCUUCCUCUCACUGUUGGCUUGGAAGCAAACUUGAUUGUAUUAUUGUAGUUACUCAUGCCUUUAAAUGUUUCUUUUUUGGGAAACAAUUUCCUUCCAUUCAUCGGAUGUGCUGCAUGCAGAUUUGUCCUGAUUUGGAUGUUGUGGCUGGGGAAACCAAAGAGGAAGGCAUAUCAUGCAAAUGUCACGUCAUCAGCUCGGGCCACCAGCCUAAAAUAUUGGAUGCAUUUUGCUUCCAGCUGUCUGGCAAAUGCUGCUCCGCUGACCCGAGAUCAUCCUGACUGUGCUGUUUUAGUGGUUACUCUGACUCCCAGGGGUCAACAGUGGAUCACUUUCUGCCCUCCAGCAGUGAGAGUAGGUGCUAAUGGUGAGUGAGAGGUGUCGUGUGAGUGUAGAAGACUGACCGUAAAUGCCCAGCACAAGGCUCACGUCUGGGUAAAUGCUUUGUCAGGGUAAGUAAUGCUACCCCACCCUGUCUCCCUUCUCUGCUGUCUAUCCCGCCCAUCAGUUGAGUCAUAACAUAUGUGCACACCCACACACACACACUUACACACCCACAUGCAUACACACGCACUAAGUGACAGUGCCAAUCAUGAUUCACAGGGCUGAGGGUUUGCACUAUAUGCUAGAUUAGCAUUGUGUUCUGGGAAGCCAGUAGACAUCCAUCCGAACAUACAGUUGGUGCUAAUUCCUAGUGACAUCAGCAUCAGUCGCAGGCACUCGCAAAAGCUUUCAAACAUUAUACACGGUCCCAAAUACACCAUGUACCAUUCAGUGUGGUUUAGGC
ensembl:lncRNA